rnacentral:tRNA from 1 species
GUGGCCGUAGCUCAGUUGGUAGAGCAUCGGAUUGUGAUUCCGAGGGUCGCCGGUUCAAGCCCGGUCGGUCACCCCA